AUUGAACGCUGGCGGCAUGCUUUACACAUGCAAGUCGAACGAGUGGCGAACGGGUGAGUAAUACAUCGGAACAUGUCCUGGAGUGGGGGAUAGCUCGGCGAAAGCCGGAUUAAUACCGCAUACUGCAGGAGUGGCCGAUGUCGGAUUAGCUAGUUGGUGAGGUAAAGGCUCACCAAGGCGACGAUCCGUAGCUGGUCUGAGAGGAUGAUCAGCCACACUGGGACUGAGACACGGCCCAGACUCCUACGGGAGGCAGCAGUGGGGAAUUUUGGACAAUGGGGGCAACCCUGAUCCAGCCAUGCCGCGUGAGUGAAGAAGGCCUUCGGGUUGUAAAGCUCUUUCGGACGGGACGCGGUACCGUAAUAAGAAGCACCGGCUAACUACGUGCCAGCCGCCGCGGUAAUUC
rnacentral:rRNA from 1 species